rnacentral:misc_RNA from 1 species
GAUCCGUAUGCUGCGGCCUGUCAUCGUCACGCUAUGCGGUGACAUCAAUAACCACAAUCUCAAAAAGUACAACGAGCUUGUGAUGAAAGUGGUCAAUCUCAUGUAUGAGUACAAGAAAGGAAAACAUGGUCAAGAAAACGGCUGAUUUGGUGGAAGAGUCAAAACCCCCGAUGCUGCCUAUUGAAUGGGCGCUUGUCAUCGGCGGCGUGGUCGUGUUGGUCGGAGUAAUCGUUCUGAUCCUGUUUGGAGGAUAAAUGGACACAUACAAUCAAGGCAAAAUG